AAAAAGCGUCAAAGCUUACUAUGUUCAUCCUAAUUCCUUAAUCCCACUUGACCCCUUUAAUAGUACUGAGAAUUUCUAUAAAAUUAUAGAACCUUUUAUGCUAAAACUAGUAACAAGAGGUAACCCCCUCUCUACAAUGUAAGUAUACAUCAGCAAGAACCCACCACUGACAAUUAACAGAUCUAAAUAAAAGUAGCAACCCCCCAAGAAAACCCUACUCACUUAACUGUUAACCUAAUACCAGAACAUUUCAAGAAAGAUUAAAAGAAAGAGAAGGAAUUCGGCAAAUAUCAGCCCCGCCUGUUUACCAAAAACACCGCCUCUUGCCCCCCAUAAGAGGUCUAGCCUGCCCAGUGACUUCUGUUCAACGGCCGCGGUAUCCUAACCGUGCAAAGGUAGCGUAAUCACUUGUCUUCUAAAUAGAGACCAGUAUGAAAGGCAUCACGAGGGCUAAACUGUCUCCUCCCCCUAAUCAGUGAACCUAAUAACCCUGUGAAGAAGCAGGGAUUUUUAUAUAAGACGAGAAGACCCUAUGGAGCUUAAAACAUCAUAACACUUGCCACCCCAUCAUAUCUACCCCGGUUUCCCUUCCCAUGGCACUCUGAUUAUAUGUUUUUGGUUGGGGUGACCGCGGAGAAAAACCUAUCCUCCACAAUGAAGGGGAUUUCCCUAAACAGCAAGCCACAACUUUAUGUAUCAGCAAACUGACAUUCAUUGACCCAAUAUAUUUGAUUAACGAACCAAGUUACCCUAGGGAUAACAGCGCAAUCCACUUUGAGAGCCCCUAUCGACAAGUGGGCUU
rnacentral:rRNA from 1 species